UACGUAGGUGGCAAGCGUUGUCCGGAUUUACUGGGUGUAAAGGGGGCGCAGGCGGGAAGCUAAGUUGGAUGUGAAAUACCGGGGCUCAACUCCGGAGCUGCAUCCAAAACUGGUUUUCUUGAGUGGAGUAGAGGCAAGCGGAAUUCCGAGUGUAGCGGUGAAAUGCGUAGAUAUUCGGAGGAACACCAGUGGCGAAGGCGGCUUGCUGGGCUCUAACUGACGCUGAGGCCCGAAAGCGUGGGGAGCAAACAGGAUUAGAUACCCGCGUAGUCCCU
rnacentral:rRNA from 1 species